rnacentral:rRNA from 1 species
AUUGAACGCUGGCGGCAGGCCUAACACAUGCAAGUCGAACGGUAACAGGUCUUCGGAUGCUGACGAGUGGCGAACGGGUGAGUAAUACAUCGGAACGUGCCCGAGAGUGGGGGAUAACGAGGCGAAGGCUUUGCUAAUACCGCAUAAGAUCUACGGAUGAAAGCAGGGGACCGCAAGGCCUAGCGCGAACGGAGCGGCCGAUGGCAGAUUAGGUAGUUGGUGGGAUAAAAGCUUACCAAGCCGACGAUCUGUAGCUGGUCUGAGAGGACGACCAGCCACACUGGGACUGAGACACGGCCCAGACUCCUACGGGAGGCAGCAGUGGGGAAUUUUGGACAAUGGGCGAAAGCCUGAUCCAGCCAUGCCGCGUGCAGGAUGAAGGCCUUCGGGUUGUAAACUGCUUUUGUACGGAACGAAAAGACUCUUUCUAAUAAAGAGGGUCCAUGACGGUACCGUAAGAAUAAGCACCGGCUAACUACGUGCCAGCCGCCGCAGUAACAC